GUGGCCAGGGUAACUUGGAGAGUGUUGGCUUGUAUGUUUGGGACUGAUUUAUGUCCAAAUAACCUAUGGCAAGCGUAUGCGUGGUGUCACUCGUUUUUCCCAGAAGGGGAAGUGUUUCACACAGUGGGCAUUGCUGUGGUAUGCUGGGCGAUUUGGACGUGUCGCAACAGAGUUACUUUUGAGUUUAUACCUCUCAGAAACCCAUUUGAAUGCACUUUCUCUACUUGUGCUCUUCUUUGUUACUGGGCAGGACUGGAGCGAACAUGCCAAAGAGCAACGCCUCAAGACUGA
rnacentral:rRNA from 1 species